AUGCAAACAUGCUUGGUUAGAGGAUGUCGUCGCCAGUUACCCAACAACAUUCAAGUUCAGAAGAUCUUUGCCAAAUUAGCAAACCAACCAGAUCCCAAGCAAUGGUUCUUUGUCCAGAACGGCUUGCUUUAUUUUCGGAACAGACUGUGGCUUGGUGGAGCUCCUGAACUUCAACAGAAAAUCAUGCGUGUGUUUCAUGAUAGCACGGUGGGCGGCCAUUCAGGUUUUCCAGCAACAUACCGCCGUUUGCGUCAUGUCUUUGCUUGGCCCAAGAUGAAGCAGCAAACCCGCCGCUAUGUCCAAACUUGCUGCAUUUUUCAACAAGCAAAACCUGAGCGUGUCAAGUAUCUCGGGUUGUUGGAGCCUUUACCAGUACCGGAAGGAGCUUGGGAGGUCGUAACUAUGGAUUUCAUCAAUGGAUUACCUCAAUCCCACAAAUACAACUGCAUCCUCGUGGUGAUGGACAAAUUCACCUGA
rnacentral:rRNA from 1 species